UUAUUUUGUGGAAUUAAUCUUUAGUUUUUGAAAAUUAAGAAUAAAAUUGCAAAAAAUAGAGAUCUGGUACCCUAAUAUAUAGUCAAAGGUCCUCCAAUGAAAAUAAAAAAGAGGUGAUCAAAAAUUAUUUUCUGUAGUUUUAUUAAAUAUAUACAAAAAUUAAGGCAUAACUCAACUACUAACUGUCAAAACAUUUGUUUUUCAAAAACAUUGAUGAACAUCAUUUUUAAUCGUAAACUAGUCGUUAACGGCUACGUUACGACUAUAUUUACGACUAUUUGAUUUCCUGACUCUCAAUUUACGAUUAUACUGUUUAAUCGUAAUGUGGUGGUAAACAACCAUUUAACGACUAUAUAACGAUUACUUUUGUAGGCGGAAACACUCUGUUUUCUUGUUGUGCUUUUUAUGUACAAGUUUGUAAAACAACUCACAAAAAGGUGAUACUAAGCAUGAAGAAGCCGUCUCGUAUGAGACACAUUAGCAUUGGCAUUAUCAGAUAAAAUGCCAAUCCUCGUCAGAGUCUCAAAUUUUGUGUAACUUGUCUCUUCUCCAUGUCCACUUCCGCCUACAGAUAUGAGAUAUGAAUCUUAUAAAAGCCUCACAUGCAAAAAGUAACUAAGGAAAAGGGAGAGAUAAAACAACAUUGAAUGAAUGAUUGUAACUAUAGUACCGGUUCUGUGGCUUCCCUGAUUGGUGGAGUGUCUUCACUAGGCACGUGUAUUAGUUGUGAAAGUUGUCGUAGUAACCCAUUCCUGUAAUUGAAGGCACAAAUAAGUUUUUUUUUUUUUGAAGGUACAAGUAAGGUACUCCAUAAUCAGAUAAGAGAAUGACGAGGAACACCAAAGAGGUUUAGAAAGAAAAAGUUACCUUUAUAAUCUCAAUAACUCUUGGUGUAUUAAAAUCCAGCAGAAAGUUUGGCUUAUAAUGGAACUCAUUGACUUUGAGUUCGUCUUCAAAUUGUUAUCCAGACUCACUUUUAGC
rnacentral:sRNA from 1 species